rnacentral:tRNA from 1 species
GACCGCGUAGCUCAGUUGGCAGAGCAUUGGGCUAGUAUUCCAAAGGUCGUAGGUUCGAUUCCCACCGUGGGUG